rnacentral:lncRNA from 1 species
AGGCCCAAACCCUCAGCAUAUGGAGGUUCCCAGGCUAGGGGUCGAAUUGGAGCUACAGCUGCCCAUCUACACCACAGCCACAGCAAUUCAGGAUCCGAGACACGUCUUCCACCUACACUGAAACUCAGGGCAACACCAGGAUCCUUAACCUGCUGAUGGAGGCCAGGGAUUGAACCCGCAACCUCAUGGGAUUUGUUUCUCCUGCAUCACCACAGGAACCCCUCUGACCCUUUUUUGAUUCCACUCCAGAUAGAAAGGCAUGUUAAAUUUAUAAUUUUACAGAUUUAUUUUAUAAUUCAAAAAUGAAAGAGCAUCAAUAAACUAUUGAAAGUGGUCUUUUGUACAUAGGGAGUAAAAAUUUAUUUGAAAAUCAUAUGCAUUUAUCUUUAAAGCAUUUGACCAUGGCUUCGAAUAGUUUGGAAAUUUGCAAAGGGAAGAAACCUUUGUCAGGCAAGCUGUAACUCCGGAGACCCCAGGCUACUGUUCAGCUUUUAAUUUUGUUCACAAACUCUUCUCUGCAACACGCAGCUUGCUGAGAGUGGGUUUGUAACUCCAUCCUCCGUUGUAUUUGCCCUAAUGUUGAAAGGUUUCACUUUUUUAAAAGGGCUUAAAUAUUUUUACUGAACCGUUUCAAAGAAAUUUGUUCAAUCCCUGGCCUUGCUCAGUGGGUUAAGGAUCUGGUGUUUCUGGGAGCUGUGGUGUAGGCCACAGAUGAGGCUUGGAUCCCGUGUUGUUGUGGCUGUGGUGUAGGCAGGCAGCUGUAGCUCUGAUUCAGCCCCUAGCCUGGGAACCUCCAUAUGCUGUGGGUGUGGCCCUAAAAAGCAGGGGGGGGAAAAAAGAAUAAUUUCCUGAUGAAUUUAACUCUCAGUCUCAAUUGAUUGAAAAAUGUCUUUCUAACUGGUUAUUCCAGCCAAGGGUCAAAGAACCUGCUUUAAUGCAUCUUAACCUGUUUUUAAGGUUUAAGCCUUAGCCAUUUGUUUACUUUCUGAUCUAAGAGAAGUUGCUUAUAUAUCUCACCUUGGUUUCAUCUGAGUGAAUAAAAUGGGAAUAAAUAUUACUGAUUUUGUGGAGUUACUAUGAAGUAAAUGAACUAGCCUAUGUAAAGCUUAUGGCCGGGCAACAUGAAUAACAGAGGUGUUUGGUGUUGGCUUUUUACUGGUCACUGAAAUAGGUUUUUACAAGCUCACUUUCUUUUUUUUUUUUUUUUCGUGUGUGUGUGUGUCUUUUUAGGGCAGCACCCGCAGCAUAUGAAGGUUCCCAGGCUAGGGGUGGAAUGGGAGCUGCAGCUGCCGGCCUAGGCUGCAGCCACAGCAACCUGGUAUCAGAGCUGCUUCUGCGACAUACACAGCUGAUGGCAAUGUGGGAACUUUAGCCCACUGAGCAAGGCCAGGGAUGGAACCCAUGUCCUCAUGGAUACUAGUUGAGUUCAUUACCACUGAGCCACAAUGGGAACACCUUUUUUUCUUUUUUUUUAUUGAUGUAUAUUGAUUUAUAGUGCUGUUAAUUUCUGCUGUAAGCAAAAUCGUUCAUAUAUGUAUAUUCAUUUUCAUAUGGUUUAUCACAGGAUAAACCUGAAUAUUGAAUAUAGUUACCUGUGCUAUACAGUGGGAUCUUCUUUAUCCAUUCUGUAUAUAAAGUUUGCACCUGUUAAUCCCAGUCCAUCCCUCCCCCAUCCCCUCUCCCCCAUGGCAAUCACAAGUCUGUUCUGUCUGUGAGUCCAUUUUUGUUUCAUAGAUAAGUUCCUUUGUGUCAUAUUUUAGAUUCCACAUGUAUGUGAUAUCAUACGGUAUUUGUCUAUCUCUUUCUGACUUAACUUCACUCGGUAUGAGUGAAUCUCUAGGUCUAUCCAUGUUGCCUCAGAUGACAUUAUUUCAUUGUUUUUUUAUGGCUGAGUAAUAUUCUAGUGUGUGUGUGUGUCCACCACAUCGUUAUGCAUUCACCUGUUACUGGACAUUUAUGUUGCUUCUAUGCCUUGGCUAUAAUAGUGUAAGUAUUUGCAGCACUUGUAAAUAGUGCUGCAGUGAACAAUGGGGUACAUGUAUCUUUUUGAAUUAUAGUUUUAUCUGAAUAUCUGCCCAGAAGUGGGAUUGCUGGUCAUAUGGUUAUUCUACCUUUAGUUUUUGAGGAACCUCCAUACUGUUUUCUGUAGUGGCUGUAUCAAUUUAGAUUCCCACCAGCAGUGUGAGAGGGUCCCCUUUUCUCCACACCCUCUCCAGCAUUUGUUAUUUGUAAACCUUUUAAUCAUGGCCAUUCUGACUGGUUUGAAAUGGUGCCUCAUUGCAGUUUUGGUUUUCAUUUCUUUAAUGAUUAGUGACAUUGAGCAUCUUUUCAUUAGCCUCUUAACGGGCUCACUUUCAGAUAACCAUGUGGAGGAGGUGUUAUCCCAUUUAAUUGAUGAGGAAGCUUAAAUAGUUACUUAUAGAAGACAGCAAAUAUUUUUAUAGCAUUUUACUCAUUUAGUCUUCCCAGUAACUCUGUACAGCAGAUCUGUUACCUUCAUCUAUAGAUGGAAACCAAGGCCCAGAGAGGUUAAGUAACCCCAGCAGCCUGGCUCAGGAAGGACUAUGUUUAUAAGCAGCAUGAGGUACAUACAGUCUCAGAAGGAGAGAGAGUGGCCAGGCUUAGUCAUUCUGACUUCAGAGUUCUCAACAGGUAGUCAUGCUGUCCCUAUUUCUCUUGAAUUGGUGACAGUCUGUCAUUGCCAUAAUUUUUUUUUCACUUCCCUUAUCUUCCCUUAAAAUGCUAUGAGGCACAUAUUGAAUUAAAGUGAAUUUAAAUAAACUUGGGCUUGAGCAUUCUGUGAUACACCCUAAGAUAAUGGGAGGAGUGGAAAUUCAGAAUUGGUUAUUACUGGACUGUUACAUUCAUGGAAAUACAGUUGUGGAAAUUAGACCCAAUGCAACAGGUAUUGAUCCAUUCUCUUUGUGUUAGCUUUAAAAAGGGGAAGGUGUGUUUUUCUACUGUACCUGAGUAGAAUCCUUAUAUGUUAAAAGCAUGGACUUGACUAUGCAAAAUUGGAAUUUUGGUCUUUUCCUCAGACAAUCCUGAAAGCAAAACAAAACAAAAAACUUGGAAAGAACUUAACAAGUUUAUAAGAUAGGGGAUUGUGAUUAUAUAAAAAUAUCGUCAUUGUAAUAACGUUAAGCACUGCAAGGCUGUACUUGUUAGGUGGUGGACCUGGGCUAACCUCCAUCUCCUGAGUUUCUUUACAUAGGGGUCUGAACAGAUGCUACCUCCUUCCUAGCUAUAGUUGAUCCCUUCUGCUUUCCAGUUCCUUUAACUAAUAAAAUGUAUAAAAAGUGGGUCAGUAUGAAUACCAAAACUAUUCUGCCUUGACAGUCUGUUUGCUCGUGCUGUUUGUUCCAGUAUCCUCUUCUUUCUCCUUUUCCUUCUCCAACAAGUGAAAUUCUGCUCAUUCCUCCCAACCAGCUCUGGGUCAUUCCUUUUAUGAAGUCCUCCUAGACAUUCCCCACCCCCACUUCUCUAAGUCAAAAUUGUGGACUCUUUAUAGCAUUUGCCCCUACACUGCACAGCAGUUUACCACCGUUUAGAGUUGGGCUUAUACCCAGCUAGACUCUGUCCCAGAACAAGAGUUUUUGGGAUUCAGAGUUACCUCUCAACUGCCAAGUUUUCUAGUUGUUGGCUCAUACUAUUGGGCACAUUGUGGUUGCUUUUAAUAAAGAUCUAUUAAAUUAAGAAAUGGAUUUGCUUAUUUUACAGUGCUAUUUUGUCCCUGCUGACUUAUGCAGUAAUUACAAAUGUUGUAUUAAGUUAACUUAGGGUGUGUAUAAGCCUCCUUCUGAGAAACUCCCAUGUUUACCUGAAGCCCAUGACGUAUCUUGUGGAAAUUGGGUGUAGAAUUUAACUGGUGGUGAUCGGUGACUGACAACUGAAAACCACUUUGAGGAGUUCCCUUGUGGUGCAGCAGGUUAAGGAUCCGGCAUUGUCACUGCAGCAGCUCCGGUCACUGUCACUGCUGCAGCUCGGGUCACUGCUGUAGAGCCUGUUUGAUCCCUAGCGGGGGAACUUCCAC